rnacentral:lncRNA from 1 species
AGUACAGUGGUGCCUCGCAAGACGAAAUUAAUUCGUUCCGCGAGUUUUUUCGUCUAGCGAAUUUUUCGUCUUGCGAAGCACGAAAUCCCAUAGGAAUGCAUUGAAAUUCAAUUAAUGCGUUCCUAUGGUCAAAAAAAGUCCAAUCAAAGCCAAAUUCGGUACAACAAGAGUUUAUUAACUGCUCUUUAAAGUCACACAUACUUUAAAGAGCAUAUCAAAAAUUGAAGGAACAAUAAAUUAAGUUUCUAAACAUGACAG